UACGUAGGGCGCGAGCGUUAUCCGGAAUUAUUGGGCGUAAAGAGCUCGUAGGCGGCCUGUCGCGUCGGUUGUGAAAGCCCGGGGCUCAACCCCGGGUCUGCAGUCGAUACGGGCAGGCUAGAGUUCGGUAGGGGAGAUCGGAAUUCCUGGUGUAGCGGUGAAAUGCGCAGAUAUCAGGAGGAACACCGGUGGCGAAGGCGGAUCUCUGGGCCGAUACUGACGCUGAGGAGCGAAAGCGUGGGGAGCGAACAGG
rnacentral:rRNA from 1 species